rnacentral:rRNA from 1 species
AACGAACGCUGGCGGCGUGUCUUAAGCAUGCAAGUCGAGCGGCAAGGAAGUGCUUGCACUUCCCUAGAGCGGCGGACUGGUGAGUAACGCGUGGGUGAUCUACCUCGGGGUUGGGGAUAGCCAUUAGAAAUAGUGGGUAAUACCGAAUACGCUUCCAGGGCUACGGCCUUGGAAGGAAAGGCGCUACGGCGCCGACCUGAGAUGAGCCCGCGUCCCACUUAGCUAGUUGGUGAGGUAACGGCCCACCCAAGGCGAUGAUGGGUAGGCGGCCUGAGAGGGUGUACGCCCACAUUGGGACUGAGAUACGGCCCAAACUCCUACGGGUGGCAGCAGCUAAGAAUAUUCCGCCAAUGGACGAAAGUACUGACGGAGCGACGCCGCCGUGGAGUGAUGAAGGACCGGAACGGGUUAGG